UACGAAGGGGGCUAGCGUUGCUCGGAAUCACUGGGCGUAAAGCGCACGUAGGCGGAUUGUUAAGUCAGGGGUGAAAUCCUGGAGCUCAACUCCAGAACUGCCUUUGAUACUGGCGAUCUUGAGUCCGGGAGAGGUGAGUGGAACUGCGAGUGUAGAGGUGAAAUUCGUAGAUAUUCGCAAGACACCAGUGGCGAAGGCGGCUCACUGGCCCGAUACUGACGCUGAGGCACGAAAGCGUGGGGAGCAACAGG
rnacentral:rRNA from 1 species